GGUGGUCGGCCGGCAGGCCUGGGACCUGUGCAUCUGUGCUGAGCGGCACGCUGGCCUCCGGCGGAGCUGAGCUGCUGAACCCUGCCUUGCAGGAGCUGGAGCUUUAGGGACUCGCCCGCAGAGCUCCGCUCGGAACAGUAGUGGAGGGCUAGAGGGAGAGGGCCGCGCCGCACCUUCCGGAGAGAAGCGGGGUUUCAAGGGCUGAUCUUGGCAAUUACACCCUAGGACCGAAGUCGGAGGGAUUUCAGAGAGAAGAAGAAAGAAAGAGAAACAUCUGUGUGAGAAAGAAACCAAUUGGCUGCCUCCUGUACGCACCCCGACUGGGGAUCAAACCUGCAACCUAGGUGUGCACCCUGACCGGGAAUCAAACCCAUGACCUUGGGUGUACUGGACGAUGCUCCAACCAGCCGAGCCACCCAGCCAAGGUUAGGUAUAAAUUCUUCUGCAAUGCCCUUUUCCCCUACAACUUUGUUUGCAAAACUCACCAUUAUAUUGCAGGUACUCUGAGUCAUGCCUUCUCGCUGUCCUGUGGAAAUCCAUUGUUUACAAAACCCAGAAUACAUGUGUCCAUUCUGCCACUGAGGGCACCUGAGCUGUUUCCAGUCACUUGCCAUUAUAAGCAGUGAUGCAGGAAUAUUGCGAUACUUGUCUCCUGCCUGUGAUAGAGUCUGUAGGGCAAACGCCUAGAAGGGGAGGUGCAGGUCCAAGCCCCUGCAAUCCUUUGAUCUUACUGCAUAUCGCCAGAUCGCUCUUCAAAGCGGUUUUAAGAGUUCGUGCUGCUUUACAUCAGAGGCUGGAAAACUUCUGUGAAGAGCCCAAUAGGGCACAUUUUCUGCUUUGCAAGCCAUACGGCCUGUGUCACACCUAUUCCCUUCUGUCUUUGUAGCUCAAAUAAGCAUGUCUCUGUGCCAAUAAAACUUUAUUUACAAAA